UGUAAGCACUACAUUUAUUGCUCACUGAG
rnacentral:piRNA from 1 species